CUUGGCUGACCUGUUCCUGGGGCUGAAUCAAAAGUUUAAAGUUUAAAACCCGAGAUCUCGGCGACAUUCAUCAUUGAAGUAAUCAUUGGUCAAGCAAAGAAUGUAAAUGUGAUAACCUUUGCACAUUCUAUAUUUUCUCCAAGGGAUGAUGCAUCGAUUACCAUGUCCAACUGAUAAAUUAAACAGCACUGAUUUAUCAAAUCCCCAAGACACUGUAUAAAACAAGAAACAUAAUGCAAUACCCUUUGAUUCAUAUGGCAAUCAAACAUUAGUAAUCAAAGUUCUGAUGAGGUACAUCAAAGUCAUAACCCACAGAACUAGACAACAUAUAGGUUAUUCUUUAUCAAUAAUCGCAGAUCAAAACAACUCGAAACUUACAAGAAUGGCAACUCUAAGUUGACAUUGGCACCCUCCAUGGCCUGCANN
rnacentral:lncRNA from 1 species